rnacentral:misc_RNA from 1 species
GAUGAAGAACGUAGCGAAAUGCGAUACUUGGUGUGAAUUGCAGAAUCCCGUGAACCAUCGAGUCUUUGAACGCAAGUUGCGCCCGAAGCCAUUAGGCCGAGGGCACGCCUGCCUGGGCGUCACACGUCGUUGCCCCCCCAUCUACUCCUUCGGGAUUGCGGGGGGCGGAUGAUGGCCUCCCGUGCGCUUCGCCGCGCGGUUGGCAUAAAUGCCAAGUCCUCGGCGACGCACGCCACGACAAUCGGUGGUUGCGAAACCUCGGUUGCCCGUCGUGUGCGGUCGUCGCGCAUCGAGGGCUCGAAAAAAUUGCCGGGUUCCGGCUCGGCUUUCAACGCGACCCCAGGUCAGGCGGGGUUACCCGCUGAAUUUAAGCAUAUCAAUAAGCGGAGGA